UUUGCAACGGAUAAGCGAUACUAUUUUUUUAAUUUAAUUAGCUUUGGUGAUAGGCAUUUACACGUAUGUAUGUAUCGAGAGAAAUUUAGCUAUGGGCUCAAGGUGAGAUCCACACUGACUCUUACCAGUCCACCGUCGGGGCUGCACUGCCUGCCCUACUCCUCCUGUGGUGUCCGGACUGACUUCUUGUCAGGAAAUUGAUGAGCAGACUGCUUGGCAUCGUUUUUCUGGGUACUGUUGGACUGGGGCAGCACCGCCCGGGAAAAUGCACGGGCUAUCUUCUUGGCGCAGACACUCAGCCGCCACCAAGCCCAAGAUACACAAAUAAAAUCCCAAACGGGUGAUCGACAUGCUGGCCCCUUCAAUGUAAAGCGUUGAGUGAAGCAUUUUGCCCUGGAUCGCGGCUAAGCGUAGUAGAGAUAAACAGAGAUAUUCUGCCUUCCAGAGCCUUUAUUUAAUUUAAUUAGCUUUGGUGAUAAGCAAUUACAUAUUGUACAUGUAUGUAUCGAAUUAGUAAUAAUCCGAGCUAUUAUUAUUA